rnacentral:misc_RNA from 1 species
GAAAUGCGAUAAGUAAUGUGAAUUUCAGAAUUCAGUGAAUCAUCGAAUCUUUGAACGCAGCUUGCGCUCCUUGGUAUUCCUUGGAGAAUGCCUGUUUGAGUAUCAUGAAAUCUUCAAAGUAAAUCUUUUGUUAACUCAAUUGGUUUCUACUUUGGUAUUGGAGGUCUUUGCAGCUUCACACCUGCUCCUCUUUGUUCAUUAGCUGGAUCUCAGUGUUAUGCUUGGUUCCACUCGGCGUGAUAAGUUAUCUAUCGCUGAGGACACUGUAAAAGGUGGCCAAGGUAAAUGCAGAUGAACCGCUUCUAAUAGUCCAUUGACUUGGACAAUACUUUUAUGAUCUGAUCUCAAAUCAGGUAGGACUACCCGCUGAACUUAAGC